rnacentral:snoRNA from 1 species
UGGAUCAAUGAUCAUACCUGCUGGCGUAUGAGUCACAGAUAAUGAAUAAUAUGUGUCUGAAAAUGGGGUAUUUCUCUAU